CCCAGAAUACUGAGAACUAAGCAGGCCUGGAACAAUGCCAAGGCAGGAUACAGGCAUUUCAGAUGUGCCAGCAGAGGCUAACAAAAUAUGAAUCUAUCCUCUUCUGGAUAAACCCGAGAGAUUUCAGAUGGGUGGGAGUACCUGGAAUGGACUAUGUGGUAAGGACAGACCACAGACAAAUAAAAACCAAGAUAGGCCAGGAGGGGCCGUCAACAUUUCUCGAAUACAACAGUGUGCAGGGCACCAACUUUUUC
rnacentral:lncRNA from 1 species